GUGCGCCACCACUGCCCAGCCAUUCAUUGUAUUUUUUUUUUUUAUUUCAAGGUGCAUCUUAUUGCUUUCUGACAUGGUCAGUGCUGUUCCUACCUAAAUUUUCUGGUUAGAGAAGGGCAAGAGGCAAAAAGUAUUAAGUAUAUUCUUUUAUGGGAAUUUGAGUUUAGUGUUCUAGUUUUGUUUGUUUAAAUGUUACCACAGUUUCAGUUGAAAUUAAUUAAUUUUGUGUACUACUUUGCCUGUCUGUCUGUGUCUGUUUAUGGAACCUUUCACAUACCAAUAGAAAAUUCAGUACUAUAUGUCAAGGUUUGGACACACAAAACAACUAAUCUAAGGCAUUUGUAAUACUGCUUUAAAUUUGGCCCAUGUUAUUUGGCUCAGGAACCACUAAUCUUCUGUAAUGAAAAUAAUUACAAGCGAUGAAGGUUUGUUAUAAGUGAAUGUAUGACUUACAGAAAAAUGGAAGGAUUUGAAAAACAUAAAGCAUAAAUAAAAGUAUGUAUUUUUUCUACCAUCUAGAGGCAAGUUUUAAUUUUUCGAGACAAGGUUAAUUUAAACAGCCUUGGCUGUUCUGGAACUUUCUGUUGCAGAUUGGCCUCAAACUCACAGAACUGCCUGCUUCUGCCCCCUGAAUACUGGGCUUAAAGGCAUACAUGUACGUCACCACCACCUAGUUAGAGGCAAAUUCUAAUAUUGUAAAAAUUUUUUUAUUCCUUGAUAGUUUUAUACAAUGCCAUUUUAUCAUAUUCUUGUACUCCUUCCUGAUCCACCCUCACCUUCCUCCCCACUCAACUUGAAAUGUUUCUUUUAACACUCAUUGAGUCUAAUUUGUGUUACCCAGCUACUUUUGGGAGUGGGGCCUAUCCUGGAGUGUUGUCAACCUCUACCCACCCACCAUAAAAGAAACCUGACUCUCCUAGCAGCUAUCAAAUGCCAAUAGCAUCUCAGUUAGUUGGUAGAGUUUCAUGUCUACCUCCUACUAUUCAUUUUGGUAUUUUGUCUGAUAGGAGCUUGCGCAUGUCUUGUGCGUACUAUCUUAAUAACUGAAUCCCUGUGUGCAACUGUUCUGUUCGGUGGGUUUUUUGAUAUUGUUUUGUUUGUUUUUCAAUGUACUCACCCUGUGGUAGAUAUUUUCUCAUUAAUUGUCAAGGGAAGUGGAAAUUUCCUAGUAAAGAUUUAAGAGUUUAGGUAGAAUAUGAUCCUAGUAUUUGUGCUAUUCAAAACUCAUGGAAGUACUCAUUAUUAUGUGAAUAUAAUGAGAAGCUUAAUUGUUUUGUACCCACAACUGUCACAGGUACUAUGGGGACUCUUUCAGUUAUGUUAGCUUUUUCAGUGAGUUUUGCUAUGUCAUGCAGACUGGCCUCCAAGUCAAGCCAAGAUCCUUCUGUCUUGGUGCUGCAUUUUCUUUCUUUAAUUCUUUUCUUUUCUUUUUUUUUUUUUUUUUAAAGAUCAGGUUUCUUUUUAUGGCCUUGAACUCACAGAGAUAUGCCUGCAUCUGCUUGCUAAGAUUAAGGUCUAUGCCACUAUGCCAGUCUUGUCCUUGUGCUUCUUAAAAUUUAAUAUAGAAACCAUCUAAGGAUCUUAACUAAAAUACAGAUUCUGGUUUUUCACUUACAAGUGGGUCCAGAAAUUCAUCAGUGCUGCUUAUCCUUGGACCAUGCUGAGUAGAAAUGCUAUCUACCCAUGCACGCAAGUUCUAUUGAGUCCUAUUUGAGAACUACAGGUGUCCUCGGUGUCAUAUUCUCUCUCUGUGUGUGUGUGUGUGUGUGUGAGAGAGAGAGAGAGAACGAGAACGUGUGUGUGUGUGUGUGUACGUGUGUGUGUGUGUGUGUUUGUGUGUAUGUCAGAGGACAACUUCCAGGAAUCUGUUAUCUUCCACUUAAGUAGUAGGCAAUUCUUAUUCUGUCUCUCACUGAACAGAACUGCUAGGAUUAUAAAAACAAUACUGCACCUAGCUUUUUGUGGGUUCAGGGAUAUGAACUCAGGCUAUCAGACUUCUGUAACAAGCACUUUUAUUCACUGAGCCAUCUCUCCAGCUCCUUACUCCAUGUACUUUAGCUGUAUACACUUGUUCUGGAUGUAAACGAAAUUUAAACUUCAAAGGUAAAUUAAGGUUGGGAGAAUGAUGAAGUGGAAAAAAUAGAUGAUUAAAUAAAAGUAUUUAAGUAGUAGCAUUGGUGGUGGUUAAUAAUAAUUCUUCUAUUUUCUUUUUUUUUGGUUUUGGGGUUUUUUUGUUUGUUUGUUUGUUUGUUUGUUUUGUUCUUUGGUUUUUCGAGACAGGGUUUCUCUGUGUACCCCUGGCUGUCCUGGAACUUACUUUGUAGACCAGGCUGGCUUCGAACUCAGAAAUCCGCCUGCCUCUGCCUCCCAAGUGCUGGAUUUAAAGGCGUGCGCCACCACACCCCAAUUCUUCCAUUUUCUUAAUAGUUCUAUCUUCUCAAGCAAAAUUUAAGAAGAACCACUUGAACAAGUUUGAUACUUAUAAGCAAAACAUUUCCAGAAUUUUGUUUUUAAAAACUAUCUUCUUUUUGUUGGGAAUUUCUAUGUAAUGGAGUUUUUAUUUGUUUGGCCUCUAAGAUAGAAUCCAUUCCCCAAUCACUAUUCUCUUUAUUUGUGACACUGUAUACUAGUUAAAAUUUAGUCUCUCAAGAUUCGCUAACCAAACAAGGUGCUGAUUUUCCUGUGGGCCUUUUUUUCCUGGAAAUAGGGACAAAUUGGGCUGAAAGAAUAUUUGUGUAUGAAGUAAUAAUACAUCAAGUCUCUAACUGACAUGUUUCAAAGUAUAUUCUUUAGAAUGCUUGAAUUGUUAGAUACCAAAUAAGCACUACUUGAAAACACUGUUGUGUGCCUUCCUUAAAUAAAGUUGUUUUUAGAAUCAUUAAGUAUGUCUGUCAGCCUGGCAGGGUACUUAAAUGCUCAUAACAUUUAUUUUAAAUACAGGAUAUUGUUUGGCUUAUGAUGAACACUAAGUAAAUAUUCUCCUUCCUGUUAUAAUAGUAGGUUUGAACUGAGAACAGAACUUCAGAAUUUUAAUUGAUAUCUCAAGGACAUACUAUCUUUCAUUUCUUUUUUUAACUGUUAGUAUUUCUUGCACUUGAGUGAUAGAAAACAGACUAGCUGUUCACUGGUUAUAGGGAGCAUUUAUUUGUUUUGGCUCCUCAUGUGUGUUGGUGAGCAGCAUAUAUCAGAUGCUCAUACUUGGAAUUUGGGACCUGAGAUGAUUUACAGGUCUUUCUGCUUCGACCAGCAUCUAAAGUCUGGUAUUGGCAGCAGAAGCACCCCAACUAAACUGCUUUUGUGUCCCUCCCUUGGAUAUGGUUACCUGGCUUCCCUUAAAUUCUACCAUUUUCCGAAUGUAGAUGUAGGCUCCUUCCAGUUCUCUGAGCUACUAGAUACUCUUUCAAUAAAUUGCUUUCCCGCAUUACCUGGCUUUUAUGUUGUCCUUGACACUUGAAUAAUAUAGUAUCUAUAGUCAAAACAGUUUUAAUUAGAGCCAGAUGCUUAUUUCUGGGAAUAUUUUACCAGUGAUCUCAUCUACAGUUUUUGGUAAAUAACAGCAAAGUGGUCAUAUAUUUAUUUUAUUUAGUGGGUAAGGUACUUGGUACUUUGUUCUUUGGAAGAUUUUUUUAAGUGGUUAAUUCACAUAGAAAUUGAACAGUAUUGGCAUGUAUCUUUAGUUUCAGCACUUGGGUGGUAUGUGGAUCUGAGUUCCAGGAUAGUUAGGGCCAUGUAGAAAAACAUUUGUCUCAAAGAAUUUGUAUGUCCCCACUGUAAAUGAUUCCACAUUAUCAGCAUUCCUUUACUAGAAUGGCAUAUUUGUUACAGUUAAUGAAUCAUCCAAAGAUUAUCUAUAGUUUACAUUUGAAUUUACCCUUGGCAUUAGGAAUUUGGGGGGUCUUGACUAUAUUUAAAAUAGCAUGUAUUUAACCUAUCGUAUGGAAUGACUUCACUGUAUUAAAAAAUCUUAUGUACUCUAUUAACUAACUCCUGGCAAUCAGUAGUCUCAAUAUUUUCCCAGAAUACCAUAUAAUUAGAGUAGUCUGUUUUGUUUGGUUUGUUUUAAAAUCAGGUUGACAUUUCGAUUGUUCAUUUUCUCUGGAGAUCCAUCUGCUUCUGUACUGAGAUUAAAGGCUCUAUAUCUGGCCUUUCAGAUUGACUUCUUUUGUUCAGUAACCAGAGAUUUUUCCACAUCUAUUUCUUGAUAGCUCAUUUAGUACUAAAUAUUCCUUUGUCUGAUAUACACCAAAGUUUGACAGUUACAAUGCAAAUAAUAUCUUAUAUUUUAUGAAUAUGCUUAGUUCUCUAAAGCCAUUUUAGCCAUCUUCCAGGCAAUCUAAGGGACUUCUUAUUCUACAUCCUUGCUAACAUUCUGAUGUCAGUGUUCUGGGUUUGGUUAUUGUAAUAGGCAUAGUGAAAUCUCAGUGCUGAUUAUCACAGUCUCUUGUUGUGUAGCAUCUUUUCAUUAGUUAAUUUUCUAUCUGUAUAUCCUCUCUGGUAAGGUAUCCAUUAAAAUUUUUAUUGGUUUAUUUUUGUUGACUUUCUCUAUUCUUUGUGUUUUUUGGUUUUUUUGGAGACAGGGUUUCUCUUGUGUAGCCCUGGCUGUCCUGGAACUCACUCUGUAGACCAGGCUGGCCUCGAACUCAGAAAUCUGCCUGUCUCUACCUCCCAAGUGCUGGGAUUAAAGGUGUGCGCCACCAACGCCUGGCUUUCUUUGUGUAUUUUUAUAUUUUUAAUAAUUGUUUUCUAUGUCUUUACUCUGUCUUUUGCUACUUUGGAUUAAACCAAGCACUUCAUCGUGAGCCAUGUCCUAGUUACCUUGAUGCCUUUUUUAGCAAAUAUUUUCUCCAUGCUAGCUAGCUUUUUUUUUAUUCAUUUAAAAGAGAAUGCAUUAAUAUUUUUUUCUUGGAUGGAUACCCUUGUUUAUAAUUUGAAACAUCGUCACCAAAACCUGUAUCAUCUAACUCUUUUUGGAGAUGUAUUAUUUUACAUUUUGUAGAUAGGUCUAUGAUCCAUUUUGAAUUGCCUUUUCUGAAAAAUGUGGAAUUUUAUUGUUUUGUCGUUUUUAUGAUGCAUGUGGGUGCACAGCUAUUCCAGUACCUUUUAAAAAAAAUCUCUCAUGCAUAUAUUGACUUUGAUUCUUUGUCAGAGUUGACCAAUUUAUAUGGGGCUAUUUUAGGGCUUCAUUUUCUGUUCCAUUGAUUUGUUCUUCCCCCCACCCCCAUUGGCUAGUACCGCAUUAAUGAUCUGUAGUUUUCCUCCUAGAUCUGAACAUAUUUAAGUAUUCUUAAGCUGCUUAUAUAAAUGGUAUUCAUUUCAAAUCCAGUUGUUCAUGGUAGCAUAUGUAAGAGUAAUUGAUACAUUAACCUUGUAUUCUGGAGGUUUCAGGAGGGAGUUUUUCUUUGUGGCUAUUGGGUGUAUUUUUUGGAUUUUCUACAUAGAUGAAAUGAUAAGACACAUUCCAAUCUAUGUGUCUUUUACUUACCUUUAUUUUGGACCUCCCAUAAACAAGUAUUUUAAAAAUACUUAAAAAUAAAUUAAUAGAAAAAAGUGAGAGAUCUCAAUCUUUUGAAGCACAUCAAGGUUUCAAAAAUCUGCCAAUCCAAAAACCAAUAAAUGGCAAGGAAUAAAGAUUAGGGAAGAGAUUAAUGGAAUAAGCUGAAAGAACAAUACACAAAAAUCCUAUCCUUCACCUUGCACAUUAAUCAGCUAGAAAUUGAUCAAAGACUUUAAUCCUCCAAACUCAGUCAGAAACAUAGGGAAUACCCUUCUAGGCACUGGGGGUAAAUAGCAAGUUUGGAACAGAAUUUUAAGAGCAGAGUAACUGAACCAAGUAUCAGCAAACUAAAUAUGUAAUUACAGAGUUGCUACACAGCAAAUAAAAUUAUAAAGAAAGCACAUUGACAGCCCACAGAGUGGGAAAAAGUCUUUACAAGGUAUACUUCAGAUAAAAGGUUUAUAUUCAGAUUUACUGAGAAUUACGUAAACACUAAGCAAAUACAACUUGCAGUCAACAUCUGAAUGAUGAGAUUGAGUACGCAGUUUUCAGAAGAAACACAAUUUUGUAAGUAGAUUUUUAAGCGAUGUCUUUACCUUAUUCUAUGUGUACGACUGUUUGCUUGUAUGUGUGUAUGUGCACCAUGCACACCCAGUGCCCUUGAAGGCCAGAAGUGAGCCAAGUCCCCCGGAGUUACAACUGUGAGCUGCCAUGUGGGUGCUGGGAACUGAAUCCAGGUCCUCUGCAAGAGCAGCCAGUGUUCUU
rnacentral:lncRNA from 1 species